UACUCAUUCCGUUUCGAUUUAUCUAAUUUUUAUUUGACUUAAUUGUCACGACCCAGAAUGAAUCGUGAGUGAUACCUACACUUACUGCCUCCUAGGUGGGCGAACCAACACGUCUGAACCCCAACAUAUACCAAUAGUUCAACUAUAAAUAACAAAGUAAUGCGGAAGCUCUAAAAGUUAUUAAGCAACCAAUUUAAAUAAGUUUCUAAAGUUUAAUACUUAUUAUCCCAAAAUCUGAUAGUCAUCACAUCAAGGACAUCUAUUUCUAAAUUACCAAGUCUAAGAGUGUUUAAGAAACCAAAAUAAGCAAAAAGAUGGUCCAUGUCCAAAAUUCAAAGACAUCAAGACGUGAAUGAAAGAAUCCAGCACGAGCUAGAAUUAAUAGUUCACCCUGAAUUCUGAUGUGCUGGAGACUGGCUAGAGUUGAGGCGAGUCGAAUUCAAUGCUACACUUGCUGCACUCCACAAAAGAAUAGAGAAGAAAAUACAAAUAGGGGUCAGUACAAGGAACACGUACUGAGUAGGUAUCAUCCGCCAACUCAAAUAGAAAUCAAUAUAUAUUGAAUAAUAAUAUAAAAUCAACUACAAUACUUAACAGGUGGCAAGCAACAAAUCACAUGAACCAUUGACAACAACACCAUAACAGGCACACCAUCAAUCACAAUAUCAAGCAUACUUAUGAGGACUCAUACCUCCACACCAUACUCAUUUGAAAGAUAGUUUCUUUGAGGUUAAGUAUAUUUAGUUACUUCAAGAUUCCUUUCCUUUAAUGUUAUUGUGUUGAAACGUGACACUCCGAUCCCAUAUAUCGUGUCGGAAUGAGACACUCUGGUUCCAUAAUACUGUGUCGCAACAUGACACUCCGAUCCAAUAAUACCGUGUUGGAACGUGACACUCCGAUCCAAUUAUCUUAUUAUUUUAUUUCAUCAAUCCUUCUUUAUUCAAGAUGUCAUUUUACUAGAGAGGGUUUAAGAUUAGAGAUUCAACAGUCUAAUAAUUUUAGGCCAACCACAAACCACACAAUCAAGUACAUAGGAGACUUUACAAUAUCACUCAAUACAUAUCAAUCGCUAUUUAGAGUUUAUCUAUCAAAUAGAAUAAACCAUAACCUACCUCCACCGAAGAACCGAAGUCAAGCAACUACUUCUCCAACGCUUUUCCUUUUCUUAUUUCCUUCGAACCCUUCCAAUCUAUCAAGUAUGUACAUAUAUAUAUAUAUAUAUAUAUAUAUAUAUAUAUAUAUAUAUAUAUAUAUAUAUAUAUAUAUAUAUAUAUAUAUAUAUAUAUAUAUAUAUAUAUGCAUAUGCAUAAGGUGAAAGUUGACAAUCCCAUAAACACUCAAAUUAUUCUAUGUUUAUCCUAGACCCAAAAACACUCACCUAUUUAUAUAAUCAAUUCCCUAAAGUUCAAACCUAAGGGUAGGUCUUAAUUCCUCUAAUUAACAUAAUUUUAAUGAAAUUUAAACAAUUUGAUACACCUAAUAUUUAAUUAUCUAUCUUAAUAUAUUAAACUCUAUUUAAAAGAUGAUGGUAAGUAUUACACUUCAAAAUUAAGCCACUGCUUAAGAAAACUAGUAGCAACUAUAUACUGACUGUAAGCCUCUAUGACAUUCAUAUAAUAAUUGCAAAUAUUAACUAAUACGUGACUAUUUCAAUUUGUAUGAAAAAAAAUAAUUGAAAACCCAGACAUAAGCAAAAAUAACAAUUUAAAUGAUUCAAUUGGUUAUAAACCCACAACAUUAACACCCUAUUCCAUAAAUAACCAUUACUGUUCAAUUGCACAAAAAUAUAAUAUAUAAUAACCUUCCCUGCAACAUUAAAUUUUAAGCAUUAAUUGUUUCACCUGUAAUCUCACCAAUCAUCAUGCCUACAACUUUGUAUUUUUUCAAUUCUGUUAUCUUUUUGCAUACUAACCAAAAUAAAUAAUUCUAUUUUCACUACAAUUAUAUGCAAACCCAAUUUCUCUAAAUCAAAAUAUAAUUAUAACAAUAAUAAUAAUUUUCACAUCUACACAAUUCAUCAAAUUCACAUAUGCAUACUAAACUUACCUGAAGCACUCGUUCACCUCCUUAGUGAUUGUGCCGUCGUUCCUCUUAGGUUUCUAACUCAAGAUAGGAAUUUCUA
rnacentral:lncRNA from 1 species